GACGAACCGUGCUAACGUUAUUCGGAAUCACUGGGCUUAAAGCGCGUGUAGGCGGGUCAGCACGUCGGGCGCUGAAAUCCCCCGGCUCAACCGGGGAACGGGCACCGAUACGACUGGCCUGGAGGGGAGUAGGGGGACCUGGAACUUCCGGUGGAGCGGUGAAAUGCGUUGAGAUCGGAAGGAACGCCCGUGGCGAAAGCGAGGUCCUGGGCUCUUACUGACGCUGAGACGCGAAAGCCAGGGGAGCGAACGGG
rnacentral:rRNA from 1 species